rnacentral:rRNA from 1 species
UUUCGCAAUGCCCGAAAGGGUGACGAAGCGACGCCGCGUGUGGGAAGAAGGCCUUCGGGUUGUAAACCACUGUCGGGAGUUAGGAAAUGCAGGUGCGUUAAUAGCGCACUUACUUGACUAAGGCUCCAGAGGAAGCCACGGCUAACUCUGUGCCAGCAGCCGCGGUAAUACAGAGGCGGCAAGCGUUGUUCGGAAUUAUUGGGCGUAAAGAGCACGUAGGUGGAUUUGUAAGUCAGAUGUGAAAGCCUUCUGUUCAACGGGAGAAUUGCAUCUGAAACUACAGACCUUGAGUAUAGGAGGGGAGAAUGGAACUUCUGGUGGAGCGGUGAAAUGCGUAGAUAUCAGAAGGAACGCCGGCGGCGAAAGCGAUUCUCUGGUCCGAAACUGACGCUGAGUGUGCGAAAGCUAGGGGAGCAAACGGGAUUAGAUACCCCGGUAGUCCUAGCCGUAAACGAUGGGCACUAAGUAGAGGGGUUUU